rnacentral:rRNA from 1 species
GAUGAACGCUGGCGGCGUGCCUAAUACAUGCAAGUCGAGCGAACAGAUAAGGAGCUUGCUCCUUUGACGUUAGCGGCGGACGGGUGAGUAACACGUGGAUAACCUACCUAUAAGACUGGGAUAACUUCGGGAAACCGGAGCUAAUACCGGAUAACAUAUUGAACCGCAUGGUUCAAUAGUGAAAGGCGGCUUUGCUGUCACUUAUAGAUGGAUCCGCGCCGUAUUAGCUAGUUGGUAAGGUAACGGCUUACCAAGGCAACGAUACGUAGCCGACCUGAGAGGGUGAUCGGCCACACUGGAACUGAGACACGGACCAGACUCCUACGGGAGGCAGCAGUAGGGAAUCUUCCGCAAUGGGCGAAAGCCUGACGGAGCAACGCCGCGUGAGUGAUGAAGGUCUUCGGAUCGUAAAACUCUGUUAUCAGGGAAGAACAAAUGUGUAAGUAACUGUGCACAUCUUGACGGUACCUGAUCAGAAAGCCACGGCUAACUACGUG